UUGGGUCAUAGAUUUUUCUGACGAUUGUGUGGGGAAGGUCCCCUUGCCAGCUCUGCUGUUGACCAGACCAGUUUGUUCCAGGUUUAGUGAAGUAAUGUAAACUUAUGUUAUCAAAAUCACUAUUUGCCACUGUUCCUGUUUAUUCCCUCUCAGAGCGACCUCCUAAAAAGAAGAUGAUUCAGCACAAGGUGAAGAGCUUCUUGAGUCUUCCAGAAGAGCGAGAAUUUCAUCCUCAAAUGGAAGCCUGGUGCUUGCAGGAGUGGGAAGCAGCGCCUUCAGUCCCUUGCAGGGACAGUCUAGGAGUGACCCUGUGCUGUCCUGCCCAAGUCUCCAAGGAAUCUGGAGUGGAAGAAACUGAUGUCAUAAGCUUCGGUGGACAAAGCUAAACAGGAAGAGAUGACAAGAGUUUAUAACUAUGGACUGGAAAACCACUGCCUGGGUGUCGCAGUGGUGUGCUGGUUCAUCUUUAUUAAAUAAGCUGCAAAUCAUUUCAGCAAAUAAAAUCCUUUAAAAUCUGGAAUCAGCCACUUUCAUCAAUACUUUUGCCUCUAUAAAUGUUAUAUUGUUUACUGUAGUGUUAAGUUGCAUUACUCUGUUAAUCUGUUUUAAAAUAAUUUAAUAAACAUACAAGGUCAAACGUGGGAAUUGUUUGGUAAAUAUAACACAAACACAUGGUAAAUCAUUUGACUGCUGAUAAAGUUUGGUUUCACUGUUUGCCUUUGAAACAGAACUGAUGAGAGGGCGUUCUACUUGGGAGGAUAUUCCAGGAUAUUUACUGAGGUCAAUUAUAAGAAUUAUUAAUGGUUUUCAGAUUUCUGCCAGAAUAGGCCCACAACUGGUACAGAGUAGCUUAAUUCUGUUAUGGAAAAAAAUG